GAAAGCCGUAUUCGAUGAAAGUCGUAUGUACGGCGUGGAGGGAGAUCUUUCCUAUCUUUCGAGAUCCACCCUAC
rnacentral:ncRNA from 1 species